CUCAGCGUGCCCAAGUCCCGUGACUUAGUGCCAGGACGGUGCUGUGACCCGUUAUCCCCUGUCGGGUUUUACCUCCCCCCGGGAGAGCUCAGCCCUGGAUCCCGGCGGGCGGCGGAGCCUCUCUGGAGCCCGGACGGGACAGCCCACCAGGGUCUGCUUCUGUGAGGGGCCGAGGCGUCAUUCCGCGAAGGCUUCUCCUUGCUGUUGCCAUGUGAAGAAGGAUGUGUUUGCUUCCCCUUCUGCCAUGAUUGUAAGUUUUCUGAAGCCUCUCCAGCCAUGCCAAACUGUUGAACUUGUCAAGACUCCACAAUCAUGAAGCUGCUGGAAGGUACACAUCUUGGGAGUUUGCCCUUUGAAGCUCACCUGUGGACCUUUUUUCCUUUCGAAAAGAAGCAUAAGCUGCAAUAAAAAUUUGGUUUCAAGAUAACAAAGUCAGUCCCCAAAAAUCAGUAUUGAGAGUCACUGACAUUAAAUGAUGAAGAUACGAGGAUGGUGUGGGGACCUUUACUCUUCGAAGAUGAGCUAUACAUGCCCCUGAAAAGGCUGUCUGAAGACAGGGGAAGGCUGGAGAUGGCAACUUUGGCCUCUGCCAAGUACUCGUGCUAUUUUCUGUAUGUGAU
rnacentral:lncRNA from 10 species